rnacentral:rRNA from 1 species
AUUGAACGCUGGCGGCAGGCCUAACACAUGCAAGUCGAACGAGUGGCGGACGGGUGAGUAAUGUCUGGGAAACUGCCUGAUGGAGGGGGAUAACUACUGGAAACGGUAGCUAAUACCGCAUACCAUCAGAUGUGCCCAGAUGGGAUUAGCUAGUUGGUGGGGUAACGGCUCACCAAGGAGACGAUCCCUAGCUGUUCUGCGAGGAUGACCAGCCACGCUGGAACAUGUACACUGUCCAGACUCCUACGGGAGGCAGCGGGGGGGAAUAUUGCACAAUGGGCGCAAGCCUGAUGCAGCCAUGCCGCGGGUAUGAAGAAGGCCUUCGGGUUGUAAAGUACUUUCAGCGGGGAGGCGUUACCCGCAGAAGAAGCACCGGCUAACUCCGUGCCAGCAGCCGCGGUAAUAC